rnacentral:rRNA from 1 species
UACGUAGGUGGCAAGCGUUUGUCCGGAAUUAUUGGGCGUAAAGAGCUCGUAGGCGGUCUGUCGCGUCUGCUGUGAAAACCCGCGGCUCAACCGCGGGCCUGCAGCCGAUACGGGCAGGCUAGAGUUCGGUAGGGGAGACUGGAAUUCCUGGUGUAGCGGUGAAAUGCGCAGAUAUCAGGAGGAACACCGAUGGCGAAGGCAGGUCUCUGGGCCGAUACUGACGCUGAGGAGCGAAAGCGUGGGGAGCGAACAGG